rnacentral:rRNA from 1 species
UGGGGAAUAUUGCACAAUGGGCGCAAGCCUGAUGCAGCGACGCCGCGUGAGGGAUGACGGCCUUCGGGUUGUAAACCUCUUUCAGUAGGGAAGAAGCCGCAGGGUGACGGUACCUGCAGAAUAAGCACCGGCCAACUACGUGCCAGCAGCCGCGGUAAUACGUAGGGGGCAAGCGUUGUCCGGAUUUAUUGGGCGUAAAGAGCGUGUAGGCGGUUUGGUAGGUCCGCUGUGAAAACUCGAGGCUCAACCUCGAGACGCCGGUGGAAACCAUCAGGCUAGAGUCCGGAAGAGGAGAGUGGAAUUCCUGGUGUAGCGGUGAAAUGCGCAGAUAUCAGGAAGAACACCCGUGGCUAAGGCGGCUCUCUAGUACGGUACUGACGCUGAGACGCGAAAGCGUGGGGAGCGAAC